GCGUUGACCACCACAGGACUCUGGUCGUCUUCGUCGCAUCUCCUUUCUUUGCAUCCAUCCUAGAGCUUUCUAGUCGAAGACAUGGACUGCUUGCUUGGGAAAUACGUCUUCGUGGUGGUUGCGGCCGCAUUCGCUACGCUGAUGAUGGCCCCAAAUGAAGCUGGGGCAUUUCCACUCAGUAUAUAUGAAACUAUUGAAAAGGCCAAGGGACGAAUAGAAGACAACGUCGAGUGACGAAGCAUCAGUCUUCCUGACACAGUGCGACUGGCUUGCGUUCCAUUCAAGACACCUGCUUCAUAACUGAAUAAAAUGAA